GACGGGCAAUGGACGCAAGCCUGACCCAGCCAUGCCGCGUGCAGGAAGAAGGCCUUCCGGGUUGCAAACUGCUUUUAUCUAGGAAGAAAAAACUCUUGCGAGAGGAACUGACGGUACUAGAUGAAUAAGCACCGGCUAACUCCGUGCCAGCAGCCGCGGUAAUACGGAGGGUGCAAGCGUUGUCCGGAUUUAUUGGGUUUAAAGGGUGCGUAGGCGGCCCGUUAAGUCAGUGGUGAAAGCCUCCAGCUCAACUGGAGAACUGCCAUUGAUACUGGCGGGCUUGAGUACAGACGAGGUUGGCGGAAUUGUUUGUGUAGCGGUGAAAUGCAUAGAUACAAUCAAGAACUCCGAUUGCGUAGGCAGCUAACUAGGCUGUAACUGACGCUGAGGCACGAAAGCGUGGGGAGCGAACGGGAUUAGAUACCCUGGGUAGUCCACGCCGUAAACGAUGAUUACUCGAUGUUGGCGAUAAACUGUCAGCGUCUUAGCGAAAAGCGGUCAAGUAAUUCCACCUUGGGGGAAUACCNCCCCGCA
rnacentral:rRNA from 1 species